rnacentral:tRNA from 1 species
CGCGGGGUGGAGCAGCCCGGUAGCUCGUCAGGCUCAUAACCUGAAGGUCGCAGGUUCAAAUCCUGCUCCCGCAC